UUGGAAUACAGUCAGCCUGAGCCGAGGCCCAGACGCAGUGCUUCCAGCUGUAAUGGCACAGUCUGUCAACUCAACUCUGUUUUGAAUGGAACUGGGCACUUACCGAUGGCCAAAACCAGCAGUUGACUAAAAUAAUUAAGCUAUGUGCAGACAGUGAUGGAGGUGGAGAAAGAUCAAGCCGGACAAGCCCUUUGGAAAUUAUUUGCCUUUGUUUUACAGGCCCAGCGGGUCCAGGCACAGGCCGCCCUCCAGAGGCUGGAUGAUGUGUGUGGUGGAGUUCCACGCAAAAUGCUACAAGCCUUCAGAGGAGGGAGGGGGCUACACCAAGAAGAUCAGGGGAAAGCUUCGUGGGAGAGAGCCUCCCUGGCCAGGUCUCACAAUCCCAUGGAGUCCUCCCUGAUGGUCUAACAGGAAGCCCCCUCCUCUGGCCUGCUGACUGGCCACAAGCAGAAGUGAGAAAGUUUGCUGACCCCAGCUCUAGAAUCAUAUGGCAGAGACAGACAUUAUUUUCCAUGUGCAUAUAAAUGGCCCUGUCUGGCAAGCAGGGGUCCCUCUUUCCCGUUUUGCCUCUGGAAGAGAAUCGUAAAGUGGACCGAAUGUCAGAGACUGAAAACCUGUUCCUGACAUCUGUUUUCUCUUUGGAACACCGAGACAGCUUUCCUGGGGAAGUGUUCGGACAAAUGCAAGAUUCCUUCCCCGUAGGAUCUUCAAUGUCAUUUACCGAAUUAGACGCAAACCUUCAACUUGGGAGGUUCUGGGCUUCCUGGUGGUGGUGGCUGGUAGGGUCAUCCAUGGUCUUGGCUCUGCCAACUUAAACAAUAAUAUUUAUGCCUGUGCAAAAAACAAGGGUUCAAAUCCCCCCUGUGCCACUUAGCAUAUUGUAUGGUAUUGUGCAAGUUAUUAAACCUGAAUGAAAGAAGCCUCAA